UGUAGUGGAUUACCAUGGUUGCAACGGGUAACGGGGAAUUAGGGUUCGAUUCCGGAGAGGGAGCAUGAGAAACGGCUACCACAUCUAAGGAAGGCAGCAGGCGCGCAAAUUACCCAAUCCCGACACGGGGAGGUAGUGACAAGAAAUAACAAUACUGGGCCUGAGAAGGUCUUGUAAUUGGAAUGAGUACAAUUUAAACCCCUUAACGAGGAACAAUUGGAGGGCAAGUCUGGUGCCAGCAGCCGCGGUAAUUCCAGCUCCAAUAGCGUAUAUUAAUGUUGUUGCAGUUAAAAAGCUCGUAGUUGGAUUUUGGGCUCGUUCGGGUCGGUCACCUCGCAAGGGGUGCUGCGGGAUUUUCUCUUUCUCUCGUUUUUUUCUCCUCUUUUUCAAAAGGGGGGGAGGGAGGCGGGGGAAAAGUGGGAGAUCUCCACUGACUGGGCUUGCCUUUUUUUACGAGAAGGGGGGGGGUUUUCCCUCUCCUUCUCUUACCUUCUAAAGACCCAGUGUGCUCUUCAUCGGGUGUGCUGYGGGAUUUAGGACUUUUACUUUGAAAAAAUUAGAGUGUUCAAAGCAGGCUACAAUUGUACGCUUGAAUAGAUUAGCAUGGAAUAAUGAAAUAGGACUUUCUUGGUCUUAUUUUGUUGGUUUCUAGGACCGAAGUAAUGAUUAAUAGGGAUAGUUGGGGUGGUUAGUAUUUAAUUGUCAGAGGUGAAAUUCUUGGAUUUAUGAAAGACUAACUUCUGCGAAAGCAUUCCACAAGGAUGUUUUCAUUAAUCAAGAACGAAAGUUAGGGGAUCGAAGAUGAUCAGAUACCGUCGUAGUCUUAACCAUAAACUAUGCCGACUAGGGAUCGGUGGAUGUUAUAAAAUUAUUAAUGACUCCAUCGGCACCUUACCGAGAAAUCAUAAGUCUUUGGGUUCCGGGGGGAGUAUGGUCGCAAGGCUGAAACUUAAAGGAAUUGACGGAAGGGCACCACCAGGAGUGGAGCCUGCGGCUUAAUUUGACUCAACACGGGGAAACUCACCAGGUCCAGACAUGGUAAGGAUUGACAGAUUGAGAGCUCUUUCUUGAUUCUAUGGGUGGUGGUGCAUGGCCGUUCUUAGUUGGUGGAUCGCUCUGUCUGGUUAAUUCCGAUAACGAACGAGACCUUAACCUGCUAAAUAGUUACACGAACUCAGCCUGAAAGGGGGGGGGGGGGAUUCUCUCUUUCUUUUCAGGUGGUUCAGUGGUUUUUCGCAAGAAAAAUUUACAACUUCUUAGAGGGACUGUCGGUGUUUAACCGACGGAAGUUUGAGGCAAUAACAGGUCUGUGAUGCCCUUAGAUGUCCUGGGCCGCACGCGCGCUACACUGAUGAAGUCAGCGAGUUUUUAAAUUUAUUUACCUUGUCCGGAAGGACCGAAGGUUUCUUCCCUUUUUUCUUUCGGGAUUGGGGGGGAGGGCUUUCCUCUGGGGUAAUCUUCUGAAACUUCAUCGUGCUGGGGAUAGAUCAUUGCAAUUAUUGAUCUUCAACGAGGAAUUCCUAGUAAGCGCAAGUCAUCAGCUUGCGUUGAUUACGUCCCUGCCCUUUGUACACACCGCCCGUCGCUACUACCGAUUGAAUGGUUUAGUGAGAUCUUUGGACUGCGACAACUCGGCUGUCUGACAGCAGUGAUGUUACGGGAAGCUGAUCAAACUUGAUCAUU
rnacentral:rRNA from 1 species